rnacentral:rRNA from 1 species
UACGAAGGGAGCUAGCGUUGUUCGGAAUCACUGGGCGUAAAGCGCACGUAGGCGGAUGUGUCAGUCAGGGGUGAAAUCCCGGAGCUCAACUUCGGAACUGCCUUUGAUACAGCACAUCUGGAGUCCGGAAGAGGUGGGUGGAAUUCCUAGUGUAGAGGUGAAAUUCGUAGAUAUUAGGAAGAACACCGGUGGCGAAGGCGACCCACUGGUCCGGUACUGACGCUGAGGUGCGAAAGCGUGGGGGAGCAAACAGG